AUGACAGAUGACAGUGAACAAGCUAAGGUACAGCCAUCUGAAUACCUUGACAGCAAGAUCCCUCUAUGUGUAAUCUCAGAAACUUCGACUGAAACAGAAAUUCAUGCUCCAAGAAAAUCACUACCAAUAUUAAAGACUGACACUGAACAGACUGAAGUCAAAACAACUGUACCGUUAACCACAGAGAUGCUACCUGAACCAACAGCAAGAGUAUAUGAAUCUGCGGUUUCUACAAGCAGCCAUGGUGCAAAUGAAACUAAAAGUGAGAAUUUUGUUUCUGUUGCUUUGGAAACAAAGUCUGAUAAUGAUGAGAUUGCAAAUGAAAAGAUGCCAGUUUCCUCAUCUGCAGCUGUCUACAGCUAUGAAACCACAGUGCAAGACACAGACUUGGAAUUACACAGCACUGAGAGUCUUAGCACAGAAGGACAAGAAAGCCAGUUGUCUAUUGUAGUUGUGAGUUCAGUUACUGGUAGAGUAGAAGUGGAGAACUCUGAAGCAGUGACUGCAGAGCCAGAGAAAGAGGAAGAGGACUCAUAUAUUUCACAUUCUCAAGGGGAACCUUGUGGAGAAGGUGAAGCACAAACCAAAAAGGUUGCUGCGUUCAUUUUAAAUUUGGAUACAGUGGGCACAGAUAGUGCAGAGACAUAUUCCCACACAUCCACAGAUGAUGCUACGGUGAAAGCAGCCUCUACUAGUUCUAUUUUAAAUGAGAAGACACUGGGCAAGCAAGAGCAUGAAACAAUGGCCCCUCUAGAAGCUGGAAUUUCUGAAGUAGCCAUAGAACCAAUUAGCAUACAGUCUUCUCUUUAUGAGCCAAGUAUGGUGAAUGUUUUAGAAAUUAGUUCAGCAAUAGAACCAGAGCAGUCACAGCUCAAUGAAACAGACACUAACGGACAAGUGCAGACAACAGGAGGUCCACCUGCUGAAGAACACAGUAGUGGAGAUGAUGCUGCCAGAGGUAUUGGAACCUUUACUUGGAACAAUGGAUCAAAUGCUGCAAUUGCUGAAAGAGAGAGGAACUGGACUACAAAUAAUGGUCUGCAUGUAAUCCAAUGCGGAUCUAUUAUUCUAGACUUCCCUGAGGGUGUGGAGAUGCAGAGACGUCAUGCUUGUGAAGCUACUCUUUCCAGGGAACCCUCUGAGGCACAGGUUCAGGGAUCAGAAAGAAUGGAGAUGGAAUAUGAGGCAAAAUCUGAUAAAACAGAAACAGGGGUUCUAGCCAGCACAAACAGACCUUUAGAAGCAUCAGCAUCUGAACCGGCUGAUACAAACCUAAACCUACUGACAAGGGAAGUUGGAGUCAUGCAUGUCGAUGUAGAAGAAGAGACAAAAACGACCCCAUCAGAUGAUAAAACACAAUUAAUUAAAACUAAUCCUAAACUUAAACCUCCAAUCAAGCAACAAAAUGAGGUAGAAACUGAGGUCCAAACAAACAAAAUGCAUGUCUCAACAAGAGUAGAGGAAAAGCCUGAAGGUGAAGAAGCCAUUGGUGUCGUUUUGGGAAAAGAGACAAAGACCCAAUCAAGUGGUAAAGCACAAUCCAAAGAAAUUGAACCAAAACUAACACCUCCAGUCAAGUUCCCAAUUGACUGGGACACUGAGGCACAACCCAAAAUAAUUAAUGUCUCACUAACACAGGAAGAGAAACCUGAAGUUGUUAUUGCAGAUGUUAUUGUAGAAGAAGAGAUAAACAAGACCCCAUCAGGUGAAAAAGCACAAUUAAUGGAAUCUGAACCUAAAAUGAUGCCGCCAGUCAGGCAAAGAAAUGAUAGUAAAACUGACGCCCAGUCAAACAAUGUAGACGUCUUAACACAAAAGGAGAAAGCUGAAGGUGAAGAGGCCAUUGAUAUCAUUGUAGAAGAGGAGACAAAGACAACAUCAUCAGAUGAUAAAGGACAAUCUGUAGAGGCUGAACCUGAACUGACACUUUCAAUCAUGCAGAGGAGUGACCACAAAACUGAUGUCCAGUCAGAAAAGGUGGAUGUAUCAUCAGAGGAGAAAACUGAAUGUGAAGAAGCCUUGUAUGUCAUUAAGGAAUGGAAUGACUGGGACACUGAGGGUCAAUCUGAAAGUAUUAAUGUCUCACUGACACCAGAGGAAAAACAUGAAGUUGGAGACACUGCAGAUGUCAUUGUAGAAGAAGAGACAAACAAGGCCCCAUCAGAUGAAAAAGCACAUUCCAUAGAAGCUGAACCUAAACCAACACCACCAGCCAGGCAAAGAAAUGAAAAGAAGAUUGCUGUCCAAUCAAACAAGGUGAAUAUUUCAACAACAUCAGAGAAGAAACCUGAAGGUGCAGAGGCUACCAGUGUCAUUGUAGAAGACGAGAUAAAGACUCUAUUAGAUGAUAAAGCACAAUGCCUAGAAGGGGAACCUAUACUGACACCACCAGCCAGGGAACAAAAUAAGGGGGAAACUGAUGUCCAAUCAAACAAGGUAAAAAUGUCAACAACAUCAGAGAAGGAACCUGUGGACACCAUGCAUAUCCCUGAAGAGGAAGUGACAAAAAAGACAUUGGUUAAUAAAAGGCAAUUCAUAGAAGCUGAGCCUAAACCAACCCUACCAGUCAGAAGACAAAAUGAUGGUGAAACUGAGGUCCAGUUAGACAAGGUGGAUGUCACACCAACACCUCCCACCAGACGACAUAAAUGUGAUAGGUUAUUUUUAAAUAUUGAAUCACAGAUAGAGGGAGAAGUUCUUCCCACCCCACCAAGCAGAAGACGUAGAGAGAAAAUGGGACGUGAGAGGUUUUCACUUGAUUUAGAGUCCCAACCCACACCACCAGCUAGACGACGUAAAGAAAAAGAAGAUAGUAGAUUAUCGCUUGAUCUGGAGCCCCAGCCCACACCACCGGCAAGACGACGGAACGAAAAAGAAGAUAGAAGAUUAUCGCUCGAUCUGCAGACCCAACCCACACCACCAGCCAGAGGACAUAAAGAAAAAGAAGAUAGAAGAGUAUCGCUGGAUCUGGAGACCCAACCCACACCACCAGCUAGACGACGAAAAGAAAAAGAAGAUAGGAGAGUAUCGCUCGAUCUGGAGACCCAACACACACCACCAGCAAGACGACGUAAAGAAAAAGAAGAAAGUAGAUUAUCGCACGAUCGAGAGACCCAACCCACACCACCAGCUAGACGACGUAAAGAAAAAGAAGAAAGUAGAUUAUCGCACGAUCGAGAGACCCAACCCACACCACCGCCAAGACGACGUAAAGAAAAAGAAGAAAGAAGAUUAUCGCUCGAUCUUGAGACGCAGCCCACACCACCGGCAAGACGACGUUCAGAUAACGACGAUAGAAGAAUACCGCUCGAUCUGGAGACCCAACACACACCACCGGCAAGACGACGUUCAGAUAACGACGAUAGAAGAAUACCGCUCGAUCUGGAGACCCAACACACACCACCGCCAAGACGACGUAAAGAAAAAGAAGAAAGUAGAUUAUCGCACGAUCGAGAGACCCAACCCACACCACCGGAAAGACGACGUAAAGCAAAAGAAGAUAGAAGAUUAUCGCUCGAUCUAGAGACUCAACCCACACCACCGGCAAGACGACUUGAAGAAAAAGAAGAUAGUAGAUUAUCGCUCGAUCUAGAGACCCAACCCACACCACCGGCAAGACGACGUAAAGAAAAAGGUGAAGAUCAAGGAUUAUCAGUUGAUCUGGCGCCUCAACCAACUCCACCAUCAAGAAGAUGCAAGGAUAAGCCAGAGAAUGACACAUUAUUUUACAGUGCUGAAAUAGGAAAAAGUGAUAAUGAGCAAACUGUUGAACAUAAAGACAAGGAGGAGCACACUGUUAAACCAACUUCACCUGUCAGACGCAAAAUUAGUCAGGUUGAAAGUGAUGUGGCAGUUUGCAAAAACCAAGAAGAGAAAGGGACCUUUGUGAAACCCACACUGCCAACAAGAAGGAAAGAUAGCAAAGUUGAAAAAGAAAUCGUCACAGCUGCUUCUAAUAUAAAAGAAGAUAUGAGCCUAUAUAACCCAACUCCACCUCUGAGGCAAAAAGACAGCCAAGUGGAAACUGAGAUGGUUUCAACCACUCCUGAAUGUCUACCUGCCCUACCAACUCCACCAACCAGUCAAAAGAAAGAUCAAAUAGAAGCUGAAAGAGCUCCAUUAGCGCCAGAAGAGCCACAGGUCAUACCAACUCCAACAACCAGCGACAAAGAAACUUCAGACAAUGAAAAUAUUUCUAAGUUUGUAAGACUGGAAGUGAAAGCUGAUGUUGAAGCAAUAACUAAACAGGAAGAUAAAAAUGAGUAUGAUACAAAGUCAUUGGUUGGUCAGGAGCAGCAAGAGGAGGGGCAGGACCCAGAAUCAAUAAGUGUAAUAAAUCAAACAGAGAACAUCAGUGAAAUGCAGGUAACUUUAAUGUGCAUGAUUUCACCAAAAGGAACAAAUCUGCAUGUUAUCUGCAUGCUGGACUGUAAUGGAAGUCAUCAACUGAGGAUGUCUCGAUAUUUGAUUUGUAGGGUGAAAUUAAUUCCCUUUUUUUCCAACAGUCCAAUUGUCUAA
ensembl:lncRNA